AAAUGCAUGGUAGCAGGUAGCAUACUCACUUGAAAGCGUGUAGUGAAAUCGGUGACCUUAUGUGGGUUUGGUUCAGAUAGGCAACUAAACUAACUGCCCGUCAAAGCGGAAAGUAUCUGUGUGAUUUGAAGGCGCCCGGCCGUGCUUUUGAAGUUCUUUACCGAUGACUCGUUCUCUAUAUGACUGCGAAUUAUUGCACUUGAUGAAUAACCACGCAUGCUGCUUGCGGGUGGGAGACAACACAUAAUAAUAAAUACAGAUAAACUUUAUGAAUAUCUUUGGUGUUUAAAGUAAAGGGUUUCUUCUGCAUCAUGUUCCCCUUUUUAUGUGUUGAAAUCAAGUUGAACUGCGUUUCAGGAACAUAAAUACAUCAGCGGUACACGGAACAUAUCUGCCCUCUCUAUGAGUUGUUUCGCGGUCGUGUUAUUUUGCCUUUUAUUGAGCAGGGGUAUGGGAACUAGGAUGACCUACGGUUCCGUUUGCAUCGAUACUGGUGACGUCAUAAAGGUCUCCUACUUCUCCUGCCGUCAAAUAUUUUUGCCUCCGUACCACGCGGCCUUCGCCUUAAACAGACACCACAUCAUGCAUAUUGGAGGUAUAGGAGGCAAACUUCGUCCGCAGAUUGUCUUUGUGCGGAUGUUCCGAAAUCUUUGGACAAAAUUUCCGGUGGAAGUUCUAAAGCCGGAACCGGCCCGAAAGCCGGUCGUAGAGAAAGGGUUGAUAAUCGCUGCGCGGAUGAACAGGCUUUUCGACGCUCUGCCGUUUCGGCGCCUGACGUGCAACUGCCGGCAUUACACGGACUACUUCGUCUACGGUAAGACGUUCGGGAGCUGGAAGACCCUCGGUGAGGGCUACUGGCCCAUCGACGCUCGCUGCCCCCUCCAUUGCGAGAUCACGAAUGAGACGGACGUCACAGCUCCGGACUUCACCUUGCUGGACAAGUACGGCAAGCCAUACCGUCUCCUGUCGAACUGGAUGGACCCUGUAGAAGAAGGAAAGAGGUUAGACGAGGUGGAGAAGGCAAAGAAGAGGUCCAUAAGGGAGUAUAAGGAAGGACUGAUCAAAAUUACCACCGAAGUCUAGAGAAGUUAGUUAUGUGGUUUGGAUGUUAACUCGUAAAUAAUAUAAAUAACAAAAAAACACUAAGAAGUGGCCCGAACUGUAUGUAACAAAUAAUAAAUAAUAUAUAUCUAUAAAAAUAAGAACUAAUAAUAAACGCAAGAAACAUUUUUGGAAAAAUAAGAAUCAUAAUAAAAUAUAAAACCAAAAAUAUAGGGUCAAACAGUAUGAAGAGAAUUUUUUUCCCGUGAUAGUAAAGGUUCAUUUUUUGGCACCUAUGAAGGGGGGGGGGGGCUUCAAAAAUACCACCUUCACUCAGUGGCAUACAUGGACCAUUUUUCGUGAGCAUCGAGAAACGCAAAAAGAAUUCCUAUAAAUGUUUAAAUUAAAUGUUCAGUAUUUGGGAAGUUAGUUAUCUGAAAUUACAACUCGUCAUUUAGAUUGGAGAGUAUGAAAAUUUAGACAAUUGGACGUAUUUAUGUUAAAAGGAACUAUGUGCAUAGCAUUUGCGUGAGACAUAGUUCCUUUAUGUUAAAAGGAGCUAUAUGCAAAGGAUUUGCGUGAGACAUAGUUCCUUUUAGCAUAAAUACAUAUACUCAUAUUUAAAAUUGUGAAUCACUAAUGGGAAAACCUGUAAAUGACCUCCAUGAUAUCUCUUGCGUCUUUCCAACUCCUUGAUUAUUGAUGUUUUUCAUCCAGUCUGAUGUAGUGCGUCAAUCUCCGACCUCAAAAUUUCGCAUGCAGGUACAAAAAAAACCAUGCGAUCAUGAAGUCGGGGAAAAAAUGAAUUCAACGUUAUUAGGAAGCAGAGUCUCCCCAUCUUCAAGUGUAGAAUAAUAAAUGAUGCCUUCCUACACUUUAGUGUGUUUUCCGAGAAAAAUACUCUAUUUUUUAAUUGGUGAGAAAGUAAAGUGGAAUCUGCUGGAUCGAUCGAAUGUGUUUGUAUCAGUUUAAAAGCAAUAAUAUCAUCACGAAUCACGCUUGAAUACCAAGAGACACAUUUUACUGAGCUCAUUUCACUAUGCAUGUUCUACUAUUCACAUAAAUCAUUAAACUUCAUUUUUGUUCUCAUAUAAAAUCCCCCUAUUUUCCUACCAUGCGGCGAUAUGGACGUUGAAAAUUUAGAUUUAGUUUCAUCGUGGCGGCAGCGCUGUAACGUGGAAGCAAUCAAGUGGAAUUCGUAUUGGCCUCUUGUCUCUCUUCAAGUCCUGAACCCUCUCCACGGACGGACGCUUCUUUCGAUUUGUUUUACAUUUCGAAUAUGGGUUUGAAUACCUCAAGAAUACUGAAUACCUAGCGUGUGGGUCUUCGUAAACCCGAAUCGCUCGAAAGUCCAGCGGCGAACAUUUUAUUGCUCUUACAGGAACAGAGAUUCCUUAGAGAUCGUUUCAAAUAUUGAUCCUACGUUUGAUAGACCCUUUCCUUCGUGCACUUUUCCAGUUCUCUUUAUUGUUAUUACGUUCAUUUAAAUACACAUCCGUCUACGUAGCCUGCGAUCUCAUUGCACAGAGGAAAAUUCAGAUGUAAGCUUUUCUACUAUCUUAUUUGCAUAAUAUAACUGUAUGUCGUUACUAGGUUUUAACUUGAAUUAUCCUAACCCUCUGUAUAUCAAAAGGGUGAAGCAUUAAAUAGUUUAAUUUUCUAUAGGCACUGUUAAUUGGAUUACAUUUUGCAAUAAGGAAAGGAGAAAGGAAGGAGGGAUCUCAUGCUCUUCCGUAAAAGCACCUUUCUGCAUUGAGAAACUAAUGGCGUAUAUGUUGUUUCUAAAAUGAGCCAGAAAGAAUGGUUCCUUAUUGCAAAAUGCAAGCCAACUACGCCUCGAUCAGACUCAUUCAAUCACGGUAGACUUUACCAAAGUUGUGGUUGAAUCAGUCGAAAAAUCUUGUCGCGGUGUAGGACUAGAAUAUUUGGUCCUACGUACAAACACCUGAAAAGUUAUUAUACUGCUUGGU
rnacentral:lncRNA from 1 species